rnacentral:lncRNA from 1 species
AUGUCUGUCUGUAUCAGCCAUUACGUCUGUCUGUGUAUAUGUCAGUAUGCCUGUGUGUGUGUGUGUGUGUAUAUAUGUCAUUAUGCCUGUGUGUGUGUGUCAAUGUGUCUGUCAGUGUAUGUGUCUGUGUGUUUUAGUAUAUCUGUCUGUGUAUGUGUUUGUGUGUGUGGCAGUAUAUCUGUUAAUGUAUGUGUCUGUGUAUGUAUGUAUGUAUGUAUGUCUGUGUGUGUGUCAGUAUGUCUGCCAGUAUAUAUUUGUGUGUAGUGACUGUGUGUGUCAGUAUGUAUCUGUGAAUAUUUUAAUGUCUGUCUGUGUGUGUAUGUGCCAGUACGUCUGUCAGUGUGAUUGCGGGUUGGACGUAAUUGGGGGGUGAGGCAGUGGCAGGGACAGGGCCCAUGGGGCCCAAGAAAAUGCAUUGCCCAGGGUCCUAAUCAUAUUAUAGACGGCCCUGU